rnacentral:tRNA from 1 species
GUAGGCAUAGUUUAACAAAAACGCUAGAUUGUGAUUCUGGCAACAGGGGUUAGACUCCCUUUGCCCACC